UCGGUGGCCAAGUGGUUAGCGCACUUGCCUUUCACCUCUGAGGCUGCAGGUUCGAGUCUCACUAAGUACCUUCUCAUUGCGACUCGAACCCAGUCCCCAUGUGAAAAGAGUAAAAGUCAACGCUCUGCCCAAAGCCGUGGGUUUUCCCCGGGUACUCCGGUUUCCUCCCACAGGGAAAGUUGACAAGGGUGGGUUAGGUAAAAAGGGCCCACAGUAAUUGGCAUAUGCUGUUGUGGUGACCCUGCCCUAGUUGGCAAAGCUAAAUAAAUAAAAAAAAAAAUUAAAAAAAAAAGUCUUAUUUCAGAUCAGUGCUGUGAGCAGGUUGAUUCCUGCCAAAGGGCCGAUAGUUG